rnacentral:misc_RNA from 1 species
GAUGAAGAACGUAGCAAAAUGCGAUAAGUAAUGUGAAUUGCAGAAUUCAGUGAAUCAUCGAAUCUUUGAACGCACAUUGCGCCCGCCAGUAUUCUGGCGGGCAUGCCUGUUCGAGCGUCAUUUCAACCCUCAAGCCCUCGGGUUUGGUGUUGGGGAUCGGCGAGCCUUUCUGGCAAGCCGGCCCCGAAAUCUAGUGGCGGUCUCGCUGCAGCCUCCAUUGCGUAGUAGUAAAACCCUCGCAACUGGAACGCGGCGCGGCCAAGCCGUUAAACCCCCAACUUCUGAAUGUUGACCUCGGAUCAGGUAGGAAUACCCGCUGAACUUAAGCAUAUCAAUAAGCGGACGA